UUUUAGUUAAAAAAUGAAAUAAGAUAAGUUACAUCAUGCCAUGCUCUUAGUAGAUAAAACAUUUUAAUUUGGUAAGGAAAGGGAUUUAGCACAGCAGUUCUUUAUAAAAAUUAUUUUCCCUUUACCCAAGAACCAAGCCUCUCCAUUGCUGUAAUUUCAUCUUUUUUUGUUUGUUCAUUCGAGACAGGGUCUCGCUCUGUUGCCCAGGCUGGAGUGCAGUGGCACAGUCAUAGCUCACUGCAGCCUCAAACUCCUGGGCUCAAGCGAUCCUCCCAUCUCAGCUUCCCAAACCACUGGGAUGACAGGCACGAGCUCCUGCGUCCGACCUCAUCUCUUAAACCUGUUAGACGGUGCCACUGUGUUUUCAAUGCACUGUGUAUUCAGUGUGCCCUCCACCCCUAUAGGACUCAGGACAAAACGUUACCUCCUGGAUUCUCUUUGCCUCCUCACGAUUUAUGGCAAUGCACCCCAUCCAGGAGGCUCUGACACAGUAAGGACCCACACACUAGCAGUCAUAUGCAUGCUUUUUCUUCUCCCUUAUUUAAAAAAAAUUCGAGAUUCUGCCAACACUUUUCUAUGUAGUACUUGAACCAUCUUGCAAAGGGUAACUUGUCCAUUUAACAAUUAUUUCUCGCUCUGUCCAAAUCAAUAAGGCUUAGAGACACAAAGACAUGCCAUUUAAAAAUUACACAUAAAAAAACCUACAGAAUCUCUAACGCAGGGGUCAACAAAUCCACCUGCAAGCCAAAUAAGGCUUUAUAAAUAAAGACUAAUUAGCACUUAGCCAUGCUUAUGUGUUUAUAUAUUGUCUAUGGCUGCAGACAACUGAGUUAAAUAGUUAAGACAGUGACCCUAUCUGCCACAAAACCUAAGAGAUUUGCUACUGGCCCUUUACAGAAAGUCCACUAAUCCCGGCUCUAACAGAAAUGAAGUGCACGUAGCAUGUGUAACUUUAAAGCUCUCAGUAGCCAUAUUAAAUCAGUAAAAAAAAACAGGGGAAGAUAAUUUUAAUGAUACAUGUUAGCCCAAUAUAUGCAAAAUAGGAUCAUUUCAACACAUAAGGCAUAUUCAGUUAUUAAUGAGAAAUGUUCUAUUUUUUCCAUAAAAAGGCUUGGAAGUCUGGUGUGUUUUACACUGAUCGGAUGACAUUUCGAUUCAGACUAGCCUCAGUUCAAGUGCUCCCUAGCCACUGGUGACUAGCAGCCACCACACUGGUCCCUGCAUAUCUGAAGAGCAUGCCAAGUGAGAAGAGAAAAAGACGAAAAAGAAUGCAGUUUCCACUUACGGCUGCAGCUUCGGACAAGUCCAAUUACACAGUGAUGAUUAAGCCUUCCUAAUAUAAUCCCACUCUCCAAUCUGCUGUGCUGGUUGACUUUGGGGAUGGUUGUCAGCUCUGUGACUUGGUUUUGUGGCCUCUUGACGGUCUACACAGGGCAUUCAUGGACUUGGAGGAAGAUGGGAGAGUCCAGAGGCAAGGAGGACACUGCAGGACUGGGACUGAAUAACAAAGAAAACGCCAGAGAGACUCCAGGAGAGCAAGAUCGGUUCACAUGGAAGAACGACGUACACGGCAGGCACAUGGGGCCAGGAGGCCAUGCAGCUGCGGCUGCGGAAGCCAUCAACUGCUUCGAUGUGGACCAAGGAAGGCAGAUGGCGGGGCUGAUUCAAGACUGGGCUUCUGCACAGAGUGAUGCACAUUUCAGUUUGUUUCCAAUAUGAGCUCUGUUGCACUGAUCGACUUCAAUAAAUUCUCUACAGUAAACAUCCAGUACACAAGGUACUCCCUAAUGGAUACAUUGCGUACUGUCAUACGUGGGAUGCUAUGAUAGCAUUGAGAAUGAAUGAGCUACAGUGACAGCAGAUAGGAACAUUGCACAUACAACGUUGGUGACAGAUGCAAGACCCCAGAAGAUACAUGCUGUAUGAUUCCAUUAAUACAAAAUUACUUCUUGUUGAGGAUGCGCACAUAGAGGACAUUAUCAAAAAAAAAAAAAAAAAGCAAAGAGAUGAUUUCCCCAAAAGCCCAAACAGUGGUAGCUUCCAAUGGUGAGAGACUUCUAGUGCAAUGGUAAUCGCACGAGGCCCCUGAGCAAAUGGCAAUGUUCUGCCUCUUCACUUGGGAAAUCACUGGUUCAAUAACAUGUAUAUGUCUCUGGAAUGCUCUUUAACACUUAUAGGUCAUAAGUCACAAUAAAAAAUGAAAGGGAAGGAGGAAAAUGCUCUGUGGCUCCAACAGCAUCAAAUUUUAUAUAAAUAUAUAUAUAUAUAUAUAUUUUUUUUUUUUUUGAGACGGAGUUUCGCUCUUGUUGCCCAGGCUGGCAUGUAAUGGUGCGAUCUCAGCUCACCGCAACCUCCUUCCCGGGUUCAAGCCAUUCUCCUGCCUCAG